rnacentral:rRNA from 1 species
GAUCAUGGCUCGAGGACGACGCUGGCGGCGUGCUUAACACAUGCAAGUCGAACGGAGUGCUCAUGACAGAGGUUUCGGCCAAUAGAUUGAGUUACUUAGUGGCGGACUGGUGAGUAACGCGUGAGGAACCUGCCUUUCAGAGGGGGACAACAGUUGGAAACGACUGCUAAUACCGCAUGACACAUCGAGGGGGCAUCCCUUUGAUGUCAAAGAUUUAUCGCUGAAAGAUGGCCUCGCGUCUGAUUAGAUAGUUGGCGGGGUAACGGCCCACCAAGUCGACGAUCAGUAGCCGGACUGAGAGGUUGACCGGCCACAUUGGGACUGAGAUACGGCCCAGACUCCUACGGGAGGCAGCAGUGGGGAAUAUUGGGCAAUGGACGCAAGUCUGACCCAGCAACGCCACGUGAAGGAAGAAGGCUUUCGGGUUGUAAACUUCUUUACCAGGGACGAAGGACGUGACGGUACCUGGAGAAAAAGCCACGGCUAACUACGUG